GUGCCUCAAGCACCCGCGCUGGUCUAGUCUAUUGCCAAGCCUGGGAUAUCCGAACACGGAGGGCGCCAGAGCGAAACCCACCAUCCAGUAGAUUAUCCGUGCGGCCGCCAAACACCUAACCGGCCCCCGGACAUGAGCCUGGACGGACAGAU
rnacentral:snoRNA from 1 species